rnacentral:rRNA from 1 species
CCUACGGGGGGCUGCAGUGAGGAAUAUUGGUCAAUGGGCUUACGCCUGAACCAGCCAAGUCGCGUGAGGGAAGACUGCCCUAUGGGUUGUAAACCUCUUUUGUCAGGGAGCAACGCCGGCUACGUGUAGCCGGACUGAGAGUACCUGAAGAAAAAGCAUCGGCUAACUCCGUGCCAGCAGCCGCGGUAAUACGGAGGAUGCGAGCGUUAUCGGGAUGUAUUGGGUUUAAAGGGUGCGUAGGCGGAAUGCCAAGUCAGCGGUAAAAUCGCGGGGCUCAACCUCGCUCCGCCUUUGAAACUGGCGUUCUAGAGUGGGCGAGAGGGAUGCGGAAUGCGUGGUGUAGCGGUGAAAUGCAUAGAUAUGACGAAGAACUCCGAUUGCGAAGGCAGCAUACCGGCGCCCAACUGACGCUGAAGCACGAAAGCGUGGGUAUCGAACAGGAUUAGAUACCCCUGUAGUC